rnacentral:rRNA from 1 species
UAGUCAUAUGCUUGUCUCAAAGAUUAAGCCAUGCAUGUCUAAGUACAAACUUCUUGUAUAAGUGAAACUGCGAAUGGCUCAUUAAAUCAGUUGUGUUCUCUUAGAUCGCGUGUUACAACAUGGAUAACUGUGGCAAUUCUAGAGCUAAUACAUGCUUUAAAUUCUCGUUUUGAUGUUUUGGCAUCAUACGGGAUGCAUUUAUUAUGCCAAAGCCAACCGGCUCCGGCUUGCCGGAACCGUUCAGCUUCGGGCGACUCCAGAUAAUUUUGCCGAUCGUAAGGCCUUGUGCCGACGACGGAUCUUUCGAGCGUCUGCCUUGUCAACUGUCGACGGUAGGCUAUGCGCCAACCAUGGUGACAACGGGUAACGGGGAAUCGGGGUUCGAUUCCGGAGAGGGAGCCUGAGAAACGGCUACCACUUCUAAGGAAGGCAGCAGGCGCGCAACUUACCCACUCCCGACACGGGGAGGUAGUGACGAUAAAUAACGAUGCGGUGCUCUUAUGAGUCAUCGCAAUCGGAAUGAGCACAAUUUAAAUCCUUUAGCGAGGAUCUAUUGGAGGGCAAGCCUGGUGCCAGCAGCCGCGGUAAUCCCAGCUCCAAUAGCGUAUAUUAAAGUUGCUGCAGUUAAAAAGCUCGUAGUCAGAAUUCAGGUCUUGCCGCGUCGGUCGCACCUUAAUUGGGUCGUACUGGCUGUAGCUGGCCUCAAUGUCCGGUCCUCGGUUGAUGCCUUUUAGUAGGUGUUGGCAGAGGUCGGAGCAUUUACUUUGAACAAAUCGGAAUGCUCAAAGUAAGCACUAAUUGUAACGCUCGAACGUAUCAGCAUGGAAUAAUGGAAUAAGACCUGUCGCUUGUUUCGUUGGUUUUAAAGAUUGACAGGUAAUGAUCAAUAGGGACUGCCGGGGGCAUUCGUACUGCGGUGCUAGAGGUGAAAUUCUUGGACCAUCGCAAGACGAACAGAAGCGAAAGCGUUUGCCAAGAAUGUUUUCGUUGAUCAAGAACGAAAGUCGGAGGUUCGAAGGCGAUCAGAUACCGCCCUAGUUCCGACCGUAAACGAUGCCGACUAGAAAUCAGCCUCAGUCGUCUUUUAAGACUAGGCUGGCAGCUCCCGGGAAACCCAAGUUUUCGGGUUCCGGGGGAAGUAUGGUUGCAAAGCUGAAACUUAAAGGAAUUGACGGAAGGGCACCACCAGGAGUGGAGCCUGCGGCUUAAUUUGACUCAACACGGGGCAACUUACCCGGUCCGGACACCGUUACGAUUGACAGAUCGAGAGCUCUUUCACGAUUCGGUGGGUGGUGGUGCAUGGCCGUUCUUAGUUGGUGGAGUGAUUUGUCUGGUUGAUUCCGAUAACGAACGAGACUUCAGUCUACUAGUUCCCUGGUGCAGUCUUCGGACUUGUUCUGCCCUAGCGGUUAGGCAGCGUUAGGCAACUAGCGUUUGCUGAGGGUACUAGAGAGACCAACGGUACAAGCCGGAGGAAGCGAAGCAAUAACAGGUCUGUGAUGCCCUUAGAUGUCCGGGGCCGCACGCGCGCUACAAUGCAGGAGACAACGGGUACUUUUCCUAGCCUGAUAAGUGCUGGGUAAUCCCUCUUUAAAAACUCCUUCGUGGUGGGGACAGGGACUUGCAAUUGUUUCCCUCGAACCAGGAAUUCCCAGUAGGUGUAAGUCAUCAGCUUGCGCCGAUUACGUCCCUGCCCUUUGUACACACCGCCCGUCGCUACUACCGAUUGGAUGAUUUAGUGAGGCCUUCGGAGGAGUUACCCGGUUUAGUUAAUUCUAAACUGUGGUUGACAUCAAAGUUGGUCGAACUUGCUCAUUUAGAGGAAGUAAAAGUCGUAACAAGGUUUCCGUAGGUG